rnacentral:tRNA from 1 species
AAGAAAGUGGUAGAUUGGUUAUAUAAUUAACUUGAAAUUAAUUUAAGGGGGUUCAAUUCCUUCCUUUCUUG